GGGCUGGGGCUCCGCUGGGGAACCGGCCGAGCGGCGCGCGCGGAGGUGUCCGGCGGCCAGGAGGAUGGCCAAGGUCCCGGAGCUGGAAGACACCUUCCUGCAGGCGCAGCCUGCACCCCAACUGUCCCCGGGGAUCCAGGAAGACUGCUGCGUGCAGCUCCUGGGCAAGGGCUUGCUAGUCUAUCCGGAAGAAACAGUGUACUUGGCGGCCGAAGGGCAGCCCGGGGGCGAGCAGGGCGGCGGGGAAAAAGGCGAAGACCCGGAGCUGCCGGGGGCAGUGAAAUCAGAAAUGCACUGUUUAAAUGGUAACUUUUCCUCUGAAGAAGAGGAUGCCGACAACCACGACAGCAAAACCAAAGCAGCGGAUCAAUACCUGUCUCAGAAGAAAACCAUCACGCAGAUUGUGAAGGAUAAAAAGAAGCAGACACAGCUCACGCUGCAGUGGCUUGAAGAGAAUUACAUUGUAUGUGAAGGAGUUUGCUUACCACGGUGCAUUCUUUAUGCACACUACUUAGAUUUCUGUAGGAAAGAGAAAUUAGAGCCAGCCUGUGCGGCCACCUUUGGAAAGACAAUUCGCCAGAAGUUUCCCCUCCUAACAACAAGGCGGCUUGGAACAAGAGGCCAUUCAAAGUAUCAUUACUAUGGGAUUGGCAUCAAAGAGAGCAGUGCAUAUUACCACUCCGUUUAUUCUGGAAAGGGCUUGACAAGGUUUUCUGGAAGCAAGCUAAAGAAUGAGGGUGGCUUCACUCGUAAAUAUUCGCUUAGCUCAAAAACUGGAACACUUCUUCCAGAAUUCCCCAGCGCUCAACACCUUGUAUACCAAGGAUGCAUUUCUAAGGACAAGGUUGAUACACUCAUAAUGAUGUACAAAACUCACUGCCAGUGUAUCCUGGACAAUGCAAUUAAUGGAAACUUUGAAGAGAUCCAGCAUUUUUUAUUACACUUUUGGCAAGGAAUGCCUGACCAUCUUCUUCCCCUACUCGAAAAUCCUGUUAUCAUUGAUAUUUUCUGUGUUUGUGACUCAAUUCUUUAUAAGGUUCUUACAGAUGUACUCAUUCCUGCAACAAUGCAAGAAAUGCCUGAAAGCUUAUUAGCAGACAUAAGAAAUUUUGCUAAAAAUUGGGAACAGUGGGUUGUUUCAUCCUUGGAAAACUUGCCAGAAGCUCUAACUGACAAGAAAAUACCUAUUGUGCGAAGAUUUGUAUCUUCUCUGAAACGACAAACAUCUUUCUUACAUCUUGCCCAGAUUGCCAGACCAGCUCUCUUUGACCAGCAUGUCGUUAAUUCUAUGGUAUCUGAUAUUGAAAGGGUUGAUUUGAACAGCAUUGGCUCUCAAGCCCUUCUUACCAUUUCAGGCAGCACAGACACUGAAUCUGGUAUCUACACUGAACAUGACUCUAUCACUGUGUUCCAAGAACUGAAGGAUCUCCUUAAGAAGAAUGCCACUGUGGAGGCUUUUAUUGAAUGGUUGGAUACUGUGGUAGAACAGAGAGUUAUUAAGACCAGCAAACAAAAUGGAAGGUCAUUAAAGAAGAGAGCUCAAGACUUUCUGUUAAAGUGGAGUUUUUUUGGUGCUCGAGUAAUGCAUAAUCUCACCUUGAACAAUGCAUCCAGUUUUGGUAACAUAUGUGCAUUAUAAAACUGUUCUUACGUGAAUUAUAUAAUUUGUUUCCCAUUCACAGUUCCUCUCAAUUUUUAAACAUGUUACAUCGUCACUUCUUAAACUGUAUCUGAAUAUGGAGCUAUGAGAAAAUGGUAUUUAUGAGCCUGGGUUUUGGAGUCAGACCACAAGCAGGAUUAAAUCCUAACAAUGAUUCUCUCUGGCUGUGGGCCAAUCUGCUCAUUGAAGAAGGGGAAGAAUAUUCUCUUCAAAGGGUUAUGUAGGUACUUUGGUGAGAUGAUGUGUAUAAAAACAAAUUGCCU
rnacentral:sRNA from 1 species